CUACACAAGCAUGUGGAAGUCAUCUUUGUCUCAGUCACAGUGCCAUUCAUAAAAGACCUCUGAUACCUCAAGCAUGACGGACCCUCUCUGAGUGUGCAUGGAUGAGAGGUUUGGGGUAGAGUAAUGACACGCCAGCUACAAGGUUUGGAAAUCACCUCUGGUUCCAUGGAAUGGUUUACAUCAGGAUUCCAAAGGCCCACUUCCACAACCCCAAACAGGAUAAGG